AAGAUGAGGACGUGCUUAAUCAUCCUCUUUAGAAUUAACCUCUGUACUGACCAUUUUAUUCGUAUGUAAUUUUUUAAAAACAAGGUUUAUAGACAAGAAUGGGCUACUUUCUUCCAUCUGCUUGCAGACAUGUGCUCACCGAUAUGAAAAAAGGCAGCAUGUUAAUACGAAGCAGGAAUCCCGAGACAUCUUUGGGCGGUGUUAUGUCCUGAGCCAGAAUCUCAGGAUUGAAGACGAUAUGGAUGGGGGAGAUUGGAGCUUUUGUGAUGGGCGAUUGAGAGGCCAUGAGAAAUUUGGCUCUUGCCAGCAAGGUGUAGCAGCUACUUUUACUAAAGACUUUCAUUACAUUGUAUUUGGAGCCCCGGGUACUUAUAACUGGAAAGGGAUUGUUCGUGUAGAGCAAAAGAAUAACACUUUUUUUGACAUGAACAUCUUUGAAGAUGGGCCUUAUGAAGUUGGUGGAGAGACUGAGCACGAUGAAAGUCUCGUUCCUGUUCCCGCUAACAGUUACUUAGGUUUUUCUCUGGACUCAGGGAAAGGUAUUGUUUCUAAAGAUGAGAUCACUUUUGUAUC
rnacentral:sRNA from 1 species